AGAGAGAGACAUGCGCGCAUAUCAAUAAGCGGAGGAAAAGAAACUAACAAGGAUUCCCCUAGUAACGGCGAGUGAAGCGGGAAGAGCUCAAAUUUGAAAUCUUAAAGGGUUUCCCUUUACGAAUUGUAGUUUAAAGAAGUGUUUUCUGUUGAGGUUUUGGUAAAAGUCCUUUGGAAUAGGACAUCAUAGAGGGUGAGAAUCCCGUAUUUGACCUUUACUUUCAACUUUGUGAUACACUUUCAAAGAGUCGGAUUGUUUGGGAAUGCAGUCCAAAAUGGGUGGUAAAUUUCAUCUAAAGCUAAAUAUUGGCGAGAGACCGAUAGCGAACAAGUACCGUGAGGGAAAGAUGAAAAGAACUUUGAAAAGAGAGUUAAACAGUACGUGAAAUUGUCAAAAGGGAAGCGUUUGACACCAGUGUUGUUUUUCUGAAAAUCAAUUAAAGAACUGUUUAUGCUAAGUUGUUUAGACUUUAUCAGCUAACUGUUUAGUUUUGAGCUUUUCUUUAAUGCACUUUUCAGUUCAACAAGUCAACAUCAAUUUCCUUUGCUGUAAAAAAGCUUGAGGAGGGUGGCUUGAGAUUCGUCUUAAGUGUUUAUAGCCUCUUGCCUAUGCAGUCGGAGAGAUUGAGGUCUGCAGCGUAGAUCCUUCGGGGCUAAAUGCAUUUGUGCUAAGUUAUAGCAUUUUAUAGACAACUUGUUGACUAUGAUUUGUCUUGUAGCUUACUCGCUUAUGUUAUUUUACCUACGCUUAGGAUGUUGAGCGCAUGUCUCUCUCU
rnacentral:rRNA from 1 species